rnacentral:rRNA from 1 species
AGCGAACGCUGGCGGCAGGCCUAACACAUGCAAGUCGAACGGGCCCCUUCGGGGGUCAGUGGCAGACGGGUGAGUCACACGUGGGAACGUACCUUUCGGUUCGGGCUAACCCGGGUAAACUCGGGCUAAUACCGGAUACGCCUUUCGAGGGAAAGAUUUAUUGCCGAGAGAUCGGCCCGCGUCGGAUUAGCUAGUUGGUGAGGUAACGGGUCACCAAGGCGACGAUCAGUAGCUGGUAUGAGAGGAUGACCAGCCACACUGGGACUGAGGCACGGCCCAGACUCCUACGGGAGGCAGCAGUGGGGAAUAUUGGACAAUGGACGAAAGCCUGAUCCAGCCAUGCCGCGUGAGUGAUGAAGGCCUUAGGGUUGUAAAGCUCUUUCGGCGGGGACGAUAAUGACGGUACCCGCAGAAGAAGCCCCGGCUAACUUCGUGCCAGCCGCCGCGGUAA